UACGUAGGGGGCUAGCGUUGUCCGGAAUCAUUGGGCGUAAAGCGCGUGUAGGCGGUCCGGUAAGUCCGCUGUGAAAGUCAAGGGCUCAACCCUUGAAUGCCGGUGGAUACUGUCGGGCUAGAGUCCGGAAGAGGCGAGUGGAAUUCCUGGUGUAGCGGUGAAAUGCGCAGAUAUCAGGAGGAACACCAAUGGCGAAAGGCAGCUCGCUGGGACGGUACUGACGCUGAGACGCGAAAGCGUGGGGAGCGAACAGG
rnacentral:rRNA from 1 species